CCGGGUAUACUUUAAACAAUAAACAAGGCAAGGAAAGCAAAUUCUGGAACCAUUGGAAAAAAAAAAAAAACAAAGAACAAUUGUUUCACAACUCAGUGAGGUUCUUUCCCCUCCCUCUCUCUGAUCUCCGAUAUCAUCCUCGCUGGUUCUGCAAUUGCAAUGGGACAGUGUGGUUCGUCUCAGAGUCAUAAAGGCGCGAAAUCGUGCAGGGGCCAAGGAAAAGGCGGGGGAAUUGCUGAGGGGUCGUUCCGAAGACCGUCAGCGAUUAUGGUGAUGGAUUUGGAGGGCGGAUUUAAAGAGUUGAAGCAGCCUGUGACUGCGAGGUCCGUGAUCGCCGAUAACCCCAACUGCUUCCUGUGCAAUUCGGAAUCGAUAUACCUGGGAACGUGUUUGCCGCCGGUUCCGGAGGAGGAGCAGCUUCGACCCGGCCGAAUCUACUUCCUCGUCCCACUCUCUCAAGCGCACCAACCUCUGUCCCUCUCUGCGCUCUGCGAUCUCGCCAUUAAAGCUGCCUCUGCCCUUCCCUGACUUUGUUUGUGCCUCUUCCUGGAUCAUCGCCUCCCUGCGCGAGUAGCAAGAUUUACCCAAAUGCUGCAUGUGAAAGGCAUCGUUGCCCCUUCACCGGACCUUCGAAUCACAGGAAACAAAUCUGAACUCGAGAUGACUGCAUGCUCUGCAAUGGCUCACCGGGAUCUUAAUCUUUUUCCCCCUCUUUAAGCAACAACAACAAUGUUCCGUUUUAACCAAGGGGUGACGGGUGACAUAAAGCUGGAUGAAGGAAAAAUAUGAAAUAUAGGGUGGGAAGGUGCAUGGAUAAAGAAACUCUGGUCAAAUUAUCAACAAUCAGGUUUAUUGAGGCUGCUGACUGCCUGUUGAGAGUUGUAUAAAUUCACGAACCCCAAUAAUCUAUUGCAGAGGAUCCGUGAACUAUUCAAUUAUAUUAACGUAAGAGUGCUUUAUUAUUAUUAUUAUUAUUA